CUGGAAAACCCAAAAAUCGUGAAGAACAGUGUCUGACCCUUACUUUGACCAGCUUGAAUCUUGCGAAUUAUUUGUUGUUAGACUAGAUUGGUGAUAUAUUAUAGUACCCUGACAUGUUGUCUACCGUAUUGAACCAAUGGUUCACCAAAACAAGUUUUAGGAUUCACGUUAUAAGGAUCGAAAACUAGUACCCUCGACUGUUCUUCAUUUUCUGGAAAACCCAGAAAAUGAAGAACAGUGUUGUCAGAUAUUUUGGAGGCCCAGAUCUUUCACGUGUG
rnacentral:lncRNA from 1 species